CCCCGCCUCGGCGGAGAGUCAAAGGGCGAUCUGGGGAGGGGCUGGAAGGAAAGGGCCGGCGACGGCGAGGCGCGUCUUAUCUUGCUCUCUUCCCGCGGAUCGGCCCGGGCCGAAGAGGGCUCUGAAGGAGGAAGCGGCCCAUUGUUUUGUUUCAAGAACUAAGGGCUCCGGAGUUCAGAUCGGAUAGGAAAUUACGCAUAGGUUGGCUAUGAGCAAGCCUCUCCGAGUACGCUGUGAAGAGUCGCAGCCUCCACCUGGGGGUCACACACACACCCCGGCUUCUUUCUGAUGCGAGCCAAGGCUUUGAACAGCUUUAAUUCAUUGCCAAGAAGUCGGGAACAAAAAGGAAUAUCCAAAAAGAUUUGUUAUCUGGAUUUAUAGCAUUCCUACUUCCUUCUCCCCCUACUUCCCCAUGCCCAACCUCCUUCACAGCACCUCCAUCAGGUUGCCAAAUUAAUCCUAGUGCAGGUUCCUGGCUAGCCUGUUAUCCGUUACUUCAAAAAUAGACGUUUUCUGAAGCAGAUAUUUGCUUCUGUUUCAAAUUACCUGGAUUUACCCCUAGAUUCCUGGAGAUUCCAGGAUUUUAUCAGAGAAUAUUUGGGGAAAUGGUAAACCCCACUCUUCCAGCCUCAGUAGUUACUUUGACUGCUGUUCUAAAAGGACCAAACCUUUUUCUAACCAAGGGAGAGGCUGGGGUAAUUCCUUUGUGUAUAUGACAAAGUGAAGAUGUCAAUUAGGCAUGUCUAAGUCAGCAGGUUGGCCAUCUGAAUGACCGCCUGCAGCCUGCAUGCUCACAACAUAGCCUUUAACAUUUGUUUGGAUUGUAACUUAAGUUUUAAAUUGGGCAUCCAAGGUUGCACUGUAUGGCACACUGCAAAUUAAAAUUUGGAAAAUGAACAAAUGAAUAAGACUCCAACGGUCUAUAGAUCUUUUGACACUUAAAGAUCAUAUAUCAAAAUAUGA